AAACAGGGUUUUUAAACGAUUUACAAGCUGCUUUAUAAGGAUUUUAAAAGUGUUGAAAAAGCUGCAGUAGCGGUUAUUAUGAAAAAAAAUUACAAUCGUUUUUAAAAUGAUUUACAACCGUUUUUAAAAGAGAUUUACAAACGAUUAAUAAGCUGUUUUAAAAGCGUUUUAAAAGUGUUGAAAAAGCUGCAGUAACUGUUAUUAUGAAAACAUUUACAACCGUUUUUAAAAGAGAAUUUCAACCGUUGAAAAAGUUACAGUAAUGUUAAACACUGUAUCUGUUACUAAUUGGGCCUAGGCCUGUUAUUUAGAAAAACAAACUGUUUUAGUUUA
rnacentral:sRNA from 1 species